rnacentral:rRNA from 1 species
GGGGAAUAUUGGACAAUGGACCAAGAGUCUGAUCCAGCAAUUCUGUGUGCACGAUGAAGUUUUUCGGAAUGUAAAGUGCUUUCAGUUGGGAAGAAAGAAAUGACGGUACCAACAGAAGAAGUGACGGCUAAAUACGUGCCAGCAGCCGCGGUAAUACGUAUGUCACGAGCGUUAUCCGGAUUUAUUGGGCGUAAAGCGCGUCUAGGUGGUUAUAUAAGUCUGAUGUGAAAAUGCAGGGCUCAACUCUGUAUUGCGUUGGAAACUGUAUAACUAGAGUACUGGAGAGGUAAGCGGAACUACAAGUGUAGAGGUGAAAUUCGUAGAUAUUUGUAGGAAUGCCGAUGGGGAAGCCAGCUUACUGGACAGAUACUGACGCUGAAGCGCGAAAGCGUGGGUAGCAAACAGGAUUAGAUACCCUGGUAGUCCACGCCGUAAACGAUGAUUACUAGGUGUUGGGGGUCGAACCUCAGCGCCCAAGCAAACGCGAUAAGUAAUCCGCCUGGGGAGUACGUACGCAAGUAUG